GAUGAACGCUGGCGGCGUGCCUAAUACAUGCAAGUCGAGCGAACGGACGAGAAGCUUGCUUCUCUGAUGUUAGCGGCGGACGGGUGAGUAACACGUGGAUAACCUACCUAUAAGACUGGGAUAACUUCGGGAAACCGGAGCUAAUACCGGAUAAUAUUUUGAACCGCAUGAUUCAAAAGUGAAAGACGGUCUUGCUGUCACUUAUAGAUGGAUCCGCGCUGCAUUAGCUAGUUGGUAAGGUAACGGCUUACCAAGGCAACGAUGCAUAGCCGACCUGAGAGGGUGAUCGGCCACACUGGAACUGAGACACGGUCCAGACUCCUAAGGGAGGCAGCAGUAGGGAAUCUUCCGCAAUGGGCGAAAGCCUGACGGAGCAACGCCGCGUGAGUGAUGAAGGUCUUCGGAUCGUAAAACUCUGUUAUUAGGGAAGAACAUAUGUGUAAGUAACUGUGCACAUCUUGACGGUACCUAAUCAGAAAGCCACGGCUAACUACGUG
rnacentral:rRNA from 1 species